UUCGGACAGUGGAGACCGGCGCACGGGUGCGUAACACGUAUACACCUACCUUUUACCGGGGGAUAGCUCAAAGAAAUCUGAAUUAAUACCCCAUAAUAUUACACUUUGGCAUCAUUGUGUGAUUAAAGCUCCGGCGGUAAUUGAUGGGUAUGCGUUGCAUUAGCUAGUUGGUAAGGUAACGGCUUACCAAGGCUACAAUGCAUAGGGGGUCUGAGAGGAUGAUCCCCCACACUGGUACUGAGACACGGACCAGACUCCUACGGGAGGCAGCAGUACGGAAUAUUGGGCAAUGGACGAGAGUCUGACCCACCCAUGCCGCGUGCACGAUGACGGUCCUAUGGAUUGUAAACUGCUUUUAUAUGAGAAGAAACCCUUGGAUGCGUCCGAGGCUGACGGUAUCAUAUGAAUAAGGAUCGGCUAACUUCGUGCCAGCAGCCGCGGUAAG
rnacentral:rRNA from 1 species